GCAAGUCGAGCGGCCGUAGCAAUACGGCAGCGGCAGACGGGAGAGUAACACGUGGGAACGUACCCUUUGGUUCGGAAUAACUCAGGGAAACUUGAGCUAAUACCGGAUAAGUCCGUAAGGAGAAAGAUUUAUCGCCAAAGGAUCGGCCCGCGUCCGAUUAGCUAGUUGGUGGGGUAAUGGCCCACCAAGGCGACGAUCGGUAGCUGGUCUGAGAGGAUGAUCAGCCUCACUGGGACUGAGACACGGCCCAGACUCCUACGGGAGGCAGCAGUGGGGAAUAUUGGACAAUGGGCGCAAGCCUGAUCCAGCCAUGCCGCGUGGGUGAUGAAGGCCCUAGGGUUGUAAAGCCCUUUCGGCGGGGAAGAUAAUGACGGUACCCGCAGAAGAAGCCCCGGCUAACUUCGUGCCAGCAGCCGCGGUAAUACGAAGGGGGCUAGCGUUGCUCGGAAUCACUGGGCGUAAAGCGCACGUAGGCGGAUUGUUAAGUCAGGGGUGAAAUCCUGGAGCUCAACUCCAGAACUGCCUUUGAUACUGGCGAUCUUGAGUUCGGGAGAGGUGAGUGGAACUGC
rnacentral:rRNA from 1 species